AGCAGAGUGGCACCCAGUGGAAGCGUGCUGGGCCCAUAACUUGGGGUCCGUGGAUCGAAACCACGCUCUGCUA